UACAGAGGGGAGCAAGCGUUGUUCGGAAUUACUGGGCGUAAAGGGCGCGUAGGCGGCCUGUUAAGUCGAACGUGAAAUCCCCGGGCUCAACCCGGGAACUGCGUCCGAUACUGGCAGGCUUGAAUUCGGGAGAGGGAUGCGGAAUUCCAGGUGUAGCGGUGAAAUGCGGUAGAUAUCUGGAGGAACACCGGUGGCGAAGGCGGCGAUCCUGGACCGAGAUUGACGCUGAGGCGCGAAAGCCAGGGGAGCGCAA
rnacentral:rRNA from 1 species